rnacentral:misc_RNA from 1 species
CAAGAAACGAGGCCGCGUGCGCUCGCCCCCCCCGCUCCUUACCUUGCCUACUGCACCUAUUGUUGCUUCCUGGCGGCGGACUUGCCUGCCGCCAGGGACAUUGAUACAAGCCUGUAUAAGCAUUAAAACUCUGAGAAAACCGAAUCGUA